rnacentral:rRNA from 1 species
UACAGAGGGGGCAAGCGUUGUUCGGAAUUACUGGGCGUAAAGGGCGCGUAGGCGGCCCGCUAAGUCGAACGUGAAAUCCCCAGGCUUAACCUGGGAACUGCGUCCGAUACUGGUGGGCUUGAAUCCGGGAGAGGGAUGUGGAAUUCCAGGUGUAGCGGUGAAAUGCGUAGAUAUCUGGAGGAACACCGGUGGCGAAGGCGGCAUCCUGGACCGGUAUUGACGCUGAGGCGCGAAAGCUAGGGGAGCAAACGG